rnacentral:lncRNA from 1 species
AGGAAACGGAGACUCAAGCUAAAUAAUUUGCCCAAGGGCACACAGCUCAUAAGUCACACAGUGAGGACAGAAUAUACCAUGAAUCCAAAAAAAGCUGGUUUCCCUCCAUACUCCAUGCCCUGGAAGCUAGUUCCACUUCUCCAUCUCAACUGAGCUGGGGCAUCACCUGUGCUUCCAGGGGCUGGGUCCACGUGGCCAUUGUGAUCUGUAGCAAGAUACACAGUAGAAUCAAAUGAGUCUGAAAUCCAGAAGAUAAAUGAAGACCACCAGAUGAUUUUUCCAGGCUUUACCAUAAUACUCCAGAUGUUUCCAUAUCUGGAGGUAAAUGCAUUUGAAACAUCUGGCUCCCUUCUUACCUAAAAAUUUCAUUUGCAAAAGGCAUAGGAAGACCAUCAACACAGAUGUGAUGAAGCAAACUAAAUCCUGCCUGAAGGACUCAGAAGAGCUCUGAAGUCCUUUUGGGUGCAAUUAUUCCGGGCACCAGCUGUACUCUCGAUCACACAUUUGGCAUCUUCAUGCAGGUCUGAGUGCUCACCUAGCAGGAACAGAGAUGAGAUGGUUCCUACAACCAUAACAAGAGAAGCAGCCUCUGGAGAGAACUGGGCUUUCUUUUCACUCUUUCCCAUGCCCACCAACUGACUUCAACCUUCAGCAAAGUCUUGGAAUGAAAAGCUAAAACUUUAAAAGGCAGUGGCUCUCAGAAAGUCAGAUGAUGUAACUCUUUUACGGAACGGAUUCCCUGUAACAACACUAUUCUCUGAUCCAAACAUGUUGGAAUCAUGAAGAGGAUGAUCACUGGAUGAACUGUGACCUUGUUAACAUAUUAGAGAAGUGGAUAGAAUCCAAGGCUCAGACACAUGCAUUCCAGGCAGUCAGGCUGAAGAAGGACAGCUUUGGAGCUGAAGAGGUGGAAGAAAGAUUGCCUGGAGCCACGAGUAAAGAUGUGCAUCUAUCAAGGCCAUGA